UAUGAGCCUGGUGAUAGUUUGACAAGGCUUUCAUAGAGGUUGCUGUGUUAGUAUUUCCAUGGGUAGUUUUAUGAGCCUAGUGACAGUUUGACAAGGCUUUCACUGAGGUUGUGUUAGUAUUUCCAUGGGUAGUUUAAUGAGCCUAGUGAUAGUUUGACAAGGCUUUCAUAGAGGUUGUUGUGUUAGUAUUUCCAUGGGUAGUUUAAUGAGCCUAGUGAUAGUUUGACAAGGCUUUCAUAGAGGUUGUUGUGUUAGUAUUUCCAUGGGUAGUGUUAUGAGCCUAGUGAUAGUUUGACAAGGCUUUCAUUGAGGUUGUGUUAGUAUUUCCAUGGGUAGUUUUAUGAGCCUAGUGAUAGUUUGACAAGGCUUUCAUAGAGGUUGUUGUGUUAGUAUUUCCAUGGGUAGUUUUAUGAGCCUAGUGAUAGUUUGACAAGGCUUUCAUAGAGGUUGUUGUGUUAGUAUUUCCAUGGGUAGUGUUAUGAGCCUAGUGAGAGUUUGACAAGGCUUUCAUUGAGGUUGUGUUAGUAUUUCCAUGGGUAGUGUUAUGAGCCUAGUGAGAGUUUGACAAGGCUUUCAUUGAGGUUGUGUUAGUAUUUCCAUGGGUAGUUUUAUGAGCCUAGUGAUAGUUUGACAAGGCUUUCAUAGAGGUUGUGUUAGUACAUUUCCAUGGGUAGUUUUAUGAGCCUGGUGAUAGUCUGACAAAGCUUUCAUAGAGGUUGCUGUGUUAGUAUUUCCAUGGGUAGUUUUAUGAGCCUAGUGACAGUUUGACAAGGCUUUCACUGAGGUUGUGUUAGUAUUUCCAUGGGUAGUUUAAUGAGCCUAGUGAUAGUUUGACAAGGCUUUCAUUGAGGUUGUGUUAGUAUUUCCAUGGGUAGUUUAAUGAGCCUAGUGAUAGUUUGACAAGGCUUUCAUUGAGGUUGUGUUAGUAUUUCCAUGGGUAGUUUUAUGAGCCUAGUGACAGUUUGACAAGGCUUUCAUUGAGGUUGUGUUAGUAUUUCCAUGGGUAGUUUUAUGAGCCUAGUGACAGUUUGACAAGGCUUUCACUGAGGUUGUGUUAGUAUUUCCAUGGGUAGUUUUAUGAGCCUAGUGACAGUUUAACAAAGCUUUCAUAGAGGUUGUUGUGUUAGUAUUUCCAUGGGUAGUUUUAUGAGCCUAGUGAUAGUUUGACAAAGCUUUCAUAGAGGUUGUUGUGUUAGCAUUUCCAGGGGUAGUUUUAUGAGCCUAGUGAUAGUUUGACAAGGCUUUCAUAGAGGUUGUGUUAGUAUUUCCAUGGGUAGUUUAAUGAGCCUAGUGAUAGUUUGACAAGGCUUUCAUUGAGGUUGUGUCAGUACAUUUCCAUGGGUAGUUUUAUGAGCCUAGUGACAGUUUGACAAGGCUUUCAUUGAGGUUGUUGUGUUAGUAUUUCCAUGGGUAGUUUUAUGAGCCUAGUGACAGUUUGACAAGGCUUUCAUUGAGGUUGCUGUGUUAGUAUUUCCAUGGGUAGUUUAAUGAGCCUAGUGAUAAUUUGACAAGGCUUUCAUUGAGGUUGUGUUAGAACAUUUCCAUGGGUAGUUUUAUGAGCCUAGUGAUAGUUUGACAAGGCUUCUGCACCAUGAUUACGAAAAAACACUUAUGAGAACCCGACUACCCUCCUUUGUGGCCUUCGGAAAUACUUGUUGUGGAGGCCGAAAGCAUCUGAGAACACGGGUCUUAAUCUUUGUGUUGUGUUAGCCUCAAGUGGUGGUGGAGUUAGGGUGAAGCGGAUGUGGUGAUGCGGAGGUUAUACACACUUGGUGGUGAAUGGGUGUGGUGAUGGUGAGG